rnacentral:rRNA from 1 species
CCUGAAACCGUGUACGUACAAGCAGUGGGAGCCCCACCACCAAAGCAUUCUCUGGUGUUGAAGGCCCUGCAAAGCAGCAUCGCGGUGGCGGAGCGUCGUUUGCGACGCCCAACACACAAAACAAGCGGUGAAUGCUUUGGGGUGGGGUGACUGCGUACCUUUUGUAUAAUGGGUCAGCGACUUAUAUUCUGUAGCAAGGUUAACCGUAUAGGGGAGCCGUAGGGAAACCGAGUCUUAACCGGGCGUUAAGUUGCAGGGUAUAGACCCGAAACCCGGUGAUCUAGCCAUGGGCAGGUUGAAGGUUGGGUAACACUAACUGGAGGACCGAACCGACUAAUGUUGAAAAAUUAGCGGAUGACCUGUGGCUGGGGGUGAAAGGCCAAUCAAACCGGGAGAUAGCUGGUUCUCCCCGAAAGCUAUUUAGGUAGCGCCUCGUGAAUUCAUCUCCGGGGGUAGAGCACUGUUUCGGCUAGGGGGCCAUCCCGGCUUACCAACCCGAUGCAAACUGCGAAUACCGGAGAAUGUUAUCACGGGAGACACACGGCGGGUGCUAACGUCCGUCGUGAAGAGGGAAACAACCCAGACCGCCAGCUAAGGUCCCAAAGUCAUGGUUAAGUGGGAAACGAUGUGGGAAGGCCCAGACAGCCAGGAUGUUGGCUUAGAAGCAGCCAUCAUUUAAAGAAAGCGUAAUAGCUCACUGGUCGAGUCGGCCUGCGCGGAAGAUGUAACGGGGCUAAACCAU